CCCCCUGCCCAGUCUCUAAGUGCCGUCCUCUCCAAAAUCCCACUAGCCCCUCCACCCCCAACACUCCCUAGACAGACCCUCCCUCGCUCCCCCAUCAAUAGUCCCCCCCCCUGUUUCCUCCAUUCCACCAUUAUCAGGGAGGAAGUGGCCCAGAGUCGCCCCUCCUCUCCCGCUCUCUUGUUCCUACUGGCUGCUGGUGAGGGGCGGCGGUGACCCGGGAGGACAGAACACGACCGCAAGACCCCAGCACCACCAGCCCACACCGACAGAGAGAGAGAGAGAACCAUGAAGACCCCCGCCAACGUCGCCCUGCUCCUCCUCAUCGCUUCCUGCGGCGUCUUCAUCCCAGUAUCAACCAAUGGCAAUACGACCACAGCAACGACUGAAGCCAAAGUGAUCACCACGGUCCCCUUGUCCACGGCCACAAGCGGGACGACCCCCUCCGCCGGGACAGCCAAGCCCAGCACGGUCCAAGUGAUCACCACGGUCCCCUCGUCCACGGCCACAAGCGGGACGACCCCCUCCGCCGGGACCACCAAGCCCAGCACGGUCCAAGCCACGGUAACGACCGGCAACCAUUCCUCCCCAGCGCCGACAACCACGCCUUCCAAUUAUACCGCGGCGCCCGUCUCCGUGACAACAGAUAACAAAACGUCGGAGCUCCUCAACAGCACCGGAGCCGUGUCCGGGAACGCCAGCACGGGAGGGCAGCAGAACUCCUCCUCCGAGGCGUCCACCCCCAAGGACCUGCCGAAAGGUCUCAAUAUGACCAAACCCACCAAUGAACCGAAUAUAAUGAUGACCAGCAAGGCAACCACGCUCCCCCCCCCCAACCCGGGAAAAAGCCCCUCUGCCAACACUGUUCUUCCGACGAGGGGCCAGACGCAGUCGAAGGCCGUUGAGGAGCCUGAAAAGGGGAAGACGACGCUCGCAAAGUCAGAUAAGAAGCUCCUGUGGAUCCUGCUCCCCGUUCUGGGCAUCGCCGUGGCCGCCGUCUUCUUCCUGCUCAAAUUCAAGUGCAAGAACGUCCACAACCACAUGGACACCAUCGACAACGGCACAGAGAACGCGUCUUUCCAAAGCCGCCCUGAAAGCACGAAGGACGGCGUCAUGCUGCUGGGGGUCCGAGCAUCCGGGGCCGGAGAGAAUGGUACGUUCCAUCAGCAGUGACUCUCCCUGAGCUCGGACCGGUCCAACUGCCAAGACAGCCACAGGAUCAAGAUAAUGGAAGGAAGGAGGAGAAGGUUUCCUCUUGGCCGAUGGAAUCAGUGGAUGGACGUAAGGACGGUCGGCGACGGCUCCUCACUCCUGGAUAAAAGAUUAUGAUUUGUUUUUAUUGUCAUUUUUGUACACGACGAGAUGAUUAUGAAGUGAUCAGAAAACAGAAGAUGUAAGAUAUGAGAGCGUUGGAGUUCACCAUGUAUAUUCGAUCCCGAUUUUUUCCGGGUUUUCAGAAAACACAAGUCCUGCUCCCCCCUGCACUGAGCCAGCUGAUUCACUCUGUCAUUACUACUGUGGGUUCAACCUCACCCUCACCCCAGCCCCUAUCUACUGAUGGUUACAUGAGGGAAGGGAGGUUUAUAUGAAGCCUAAUGCAUUCACUGGAGAAAUUAAAUUCUGCUCUUGCUUUUCUAAAUUAAAGGACAAAUCCGGUGUAAAAUGGAUCUGGGAUAUGUUUAGUAUGAUAACGAGUUGGAAUGUUCGCUUGGGAGCAAAAAUGCGCUUAUAGACGCAUUCUUAAAUUGGCUGUUUUUAGCCGAUUCUACCAAAACCCUAAAAACUUCGAACGAUGGGGGCAUUUGUUAUGGUAAAAACGAAAUCGCUACUUUGAACCACUUAAAAGGCUACAAGUAGCCCGACACUUCUUUAGUAGUAUAAUAAGGGUCUUAACAUAUAAAAUGAGGCGUUGAUAACUUUGUAAGUGCACAAAUUGUUUAUUAAAACGACAUUUUAUACACACAUUAGCUGUGUUCGAAAUCGUUCCCUUUACACUUGUUCCCUAUUCCCUAUAUAGUGUACAUGAUUUAGUGCACCACUGCACUAUAUAGGGAAUAGGGAACGAGAAUUCGGACACUACGCUGAACAUUUCUAAACGUCAUUUGCGUCAGUAAAUGCGCCGGGUAUUUGUGUGACGCAGACAGAUGCGCCCACAUCAGGUAAACAUACCAGGCAGUCACGAGGAAAGCUGGAGGUUGUAUUGAUGUUGAAUGUUACAUUUCCUUGUUCAAGUAUUUUUUUUAUUCAUUUUGAAUGUUAAAUAUUCUAUGUUAAAUCCCAAAUAAAUUGUUGACAUUUCUAAACGAAAGCCGGAGACUCCAUCAUUAAAUGUAUUCGUUUUCGCGGUUAUUCAGCUUCUUCUUCUCCUCCGGAAAAACACGACCGCAUUGCAUUGUGGUAUACGGGAGUAACAUGUAGGGAACAUCGUAUGUACCCUAUUUUAAGUCCACUAUAUAGUGCCCUAUAUAGUGGACCACUGAGAAUUCGAACACCCUACAAAAUGGCGUGCACCCUAUUUAGUGGACUACAUCCAUGAUAGGGAACGAUUUCGAACACAGAUAAUAACAUCAGUAGUUCACCCGUCGACGCCAUCUUGUUUUCAAGACUCGAUAAGUAGAUUGGCGAACACAUGUCCAUGGCGAACACAGGCUUGCGUGUUGCUGACGGAUGUCACAAUCUCUGUGUUCGUCAAUCUACCUAUCGAGUCUUAAAAACAAGAUGAACGUUCCAACUUGUUAGCAUACCAAACAUAUCCCAAAACCGGAUUCUCCUUUAACAACAUAAUUAUCUCCGAAAUCUGCGAUAAUUUUCUGUAGCCUAAAUUUUUAUUUAAGUUAAUUUUGAAAUUUCCGAAAUAAAUAGCAGAUCCCUAAAACUUUAUCUCAGAAUUCUGAGAUUAGUAUGUUGUUUAUUCAGAAACACAUGAGCUUUAUUUUCUUGAGUGAACGUAUUAUGCAACCCUUAUGCAAAGCAAUUCAUACAUGUGUUGUACACUGUGAUUAUUAGUUGUUUGCUAGCUUUUAUUUACUUUAAUUUCUGAUAUUAGGCUACAAAUGUACAUUUGUUGUUAGUUUUUUGUUGACUGAUUCAGCUUUCUUAUGCUUUGUAAACAUGACAACAAUAUUAGAAAUGGAAAAAGAAGUACUCUCUUGUAUUUUGUCCAUCUGAAAAAACCUAUUGGUGGAAAUCAGUGUCAACAUACAAUCACACACCAAAGUAUCCAUGAUUAGGUUGUUUAUUUUAUUUGACCAACAAACUGAUCUUCGUUUAAAGUUGAUAAUUGUUCCGUUAGUUAUUUAGUUGUUCCUUUAAUAAAUUCGACAUUUCUGGAGGGAAUCCUGCUUCUGCUCCGUCAUUCGUCGGUUCAUGACUUUCGCCACUAGAGGGAGCCAACGGCUCGUUCCUUGGUGCGAUUCUAGAAGGCCUUUCAUUAGAUUUAGCGACGCAUCGGAACAGAAUAGCUCCUUUCCAUAUGUGUGUGCCGGUGCAUGCAUGUUUGCAUCUACCUUGGUCUGUGCGUGCGUGCAUGCAUGCAUGUGUGAGUGAGUAGCAUGCAUAUGCAUUUGUGUGCUCGCAUUUGUGUGUGUGUGAAUGUGAUUGCAUGCGACCGCUUAGCAGAACAGAGUAGUUUGACUGAAUUCGAUCUGCUGACCCACCCACUCCACCUUUUUUA
ensembl:lncRNA